AUACAGAGGGUGCGAGCGUUAAUCGGAAUUACUGGGCGUAAAGCGCGCGUAGGCGGCUUAUUAAGUCAGAUGUGAAAUCCCCGGGCUCAACCUGGGAACUGCAUCUGAUACUGGUAAGCUAGAGUUUUGGAGAGGGAAGUAGAAUUUCAGGUGUAGCGGUGAAAUGCAUAGAGAUCUGAAGGAAUACCAGUGGCGAAGGCGGCUCCCUGGACUCAAACUGACGCUGAGGUACGAAAGCGUGGGUAGCAAACGGGAUUAGAAACCCUAGUAGUCC
rnacentral:rRNA from 1 species